rnacentral:tRNA from 2 species
GGGCAUGUAGUAGAAUGGCUAAUACGCAUCGUUGGCGUCGAUGAGACUUCGGGUUCAACUCCCGACAUGUCCA